rnacentral:rRNA from 1 species
AACGAACGCUGGCGGCAUGCCUAACACAUGCAAGUCGAACGAGACCUUCGGGUCUAGUGGCGCACGGGUGCGUAACGCGUGGGAACCUGCCCUUAGGUUCGGAAUAACUCUCCGAAAGGGGUGCUAAUACCGGAUAAUGUCUUCGGACCAAAGAUUUAUCGCCUUUGGUUGGGCCCGCGUUGGAUUAGCUAGUUGGUAGGGUAAAAGCCUACCAAGGCGACGAUCCAUAGCUGGUCUGAGAGGAUGAUCAGCCACACUGGGACUGAGACACGGCCCAGACUCCUACGGGAGGCAGCAGUGGGGAAUAUUGGACAAUGGGCGAAAGCCUGAUCCAGCAAUGCCGCGUGAGUGAUGAAGGCCUUAGGGUUGUAAAGCUCUUUUACCCGGGAUGAUAAUGACGGUACCGGGAGAAUAAGCUCCGGCUAACUCCGUG